rfam:Camponotus floridanus CamFlo_1.0_3.contig1135, whole genome shotgun sequence.
GGCUGAAUAGCUCAGUGGUAAGAGCAGUCGCCCGGCAAGCGAAAGACUCGGGUUCGAUUCCCGAUUCAGCGA